rnacentral:sRNA from 1 species
UUAUGAAUGAAUAUAAAGUUCUUUCUAA